AAUCAAAUGGAGAAAGAAGAUUCAGAUCAAAUGGCAGAGACUACUACCACCACAGAAGAACAAAAAACCAACAAGAAAGAGACCCAGAAUGCAAUUCUCUACAUCAGCCACUUCUGAAGCAAAACCGGACACUUUCUUCAAGUCCACUAGCUCUUGUUGGCACCAAAGUUUCGUAUAUCGAAAGCUUGGAUUACGAGAUCAAUGAGAAUGAUCUGUUCAAGCAUGACUGGAGAAUCAGAUCACAAGCUCAAGUGUUGCAGUAUGUAUUCUUAAAAUGGUUAUUGGCUUUCCUAGUUGGGCUUUUGACAGGUGUCAUAGCCACUCUCAUCAAUCUUGCAGUAGAGAAUAUUACAGGAUACAAACUACUGGCUGUAACCCACUACAUAGAAAG